AGAGUUUGAUCCUGGCUCAGAUUGAACGCUGGCGGCAGGCUUAACACAUGCAAGUCGAGCGGAGAUGAGGUGCUUGCACCUUAUCUUAGCGGCGGACGGGUGAGUAAUGCUUAGGAAUCUGCCUAUUAGUGGGGGACAACAUUCCGAAAGGAAUGCUAAUACCGCAUACGUCCUACGGGAGAAAGCAGGGGAUCUUCGGACCUUGCGCUAAUAGAUGAGCCUAAGUCGGAUUAGCUAGUUGGUGGGGUAAAGGCCUACCAAGGCGACGAUCUGUAGCGGGUCUGAGAGGAUGAUCCGCCACACUGGGACUGAGACACGGCCCAGACUCCUACGGGAGGCAGCAGUGGGGAAUAUUGGACAAUGGGGGGAACCCUGAUCCAGCCAUGCCGCGUGUGUGAAGAAGGCCUUAUGGUUGUAAAGCACUUUAAGCGAGGAGGAGGCUACUGAGACUAAUACUCUUGGAUAGUGGACGUUACUCGCAGAAUAAGCACCGGCUAACUCUGUGCCAGCAGCCGCGGUAAUACAGAGGGUGCGAGCGUUAAUCGGAUUUACUGGGCGUAAAGCGUGCGUAGGCGGCUUUUUAAGUCGGAUGUGAAAUCCCCGAGCUUAACUUGGGAAUUGCAUUCGAUACUGGGAAGCUAGAGUAUGGGAGAGGAUGGUAGAAUUCCAGGUGUAGCGGUGAAAUGCGUAGAGAUCUGGAGGAAUACCGAUGGCGAAGGCAGCCAUCUGGCCUAAUACUGACGCUGAGGUACGAAAGCAUGGGGAGCAAACAGGAUUAGAUACCCCGGUAGUCC
rnacentral:rRNA from 1 species